rnacentral:rRNA from 1 species
ACUAAGCGUACACGGUGGAUGCCCUGGCAGUCAGAGGCGAUGAAGGACGUGCUAAUCUGCGAUAAGCGUCGGUAAGGUGAUAUGAACCGUUAUAACCGGCGAUUUCCGAAUGGGGAAACCCAGUGUGUUUCGACACACUAUCAUUAACUGAAUCCAUAGGUUAAUGAGGCGAACCGGGGGAACUGAAACAUCUAAGUACCCCGAGGAAAAGAAAUCAACCGAGAUUCCCCCAGUAGCGGCGAGCGAACGGGGAGCAGCCCAGAGCCUGAAUCAGUGUGUGUGUUAGUGGAAGCGUCUGGAAAGGCGCGCGAUACAGGGUGACAGCCCCGUACACAAAAAUACACAUACUGUGAGCUCGAUGAGUAGGGCGGGACACGUGGUAUCCUGUCUGAAUAUGGGGGGACCAUCCUCCAAGGCUAAAUACUCCUGACUGACCGAUAGUGAACCAGUACCGUGAGGGAAAGGCGAAAAGAACCCCGGCGAGGGGAGUGAAAAAGAACCUGAAACCGUGUACGUACAAGCAGUGGGAGCACGCUUAGGCGUGUGACUGCGUACCUUUUGUAUAAUGGGUCAGCGACUUAUAUUCUGUAGCAAGGUUAACCGAAUAGGGGAGCCGAAGGGAAACCGAGUCUUAACUGGGCGUUAAGUUGCAGGGUAUAGACCCGAAACCCGGUGAUCUAGCCAUGGGCAGGUUGAAGGUUGGGUAACACUAACUGGAGGACCGAACCGACUAAUGUUGAAAAAUUAGCGGAUGACUUGUGGCUGGGGGUGAAAGGCCAAUCAAACCGGGAGAUAGCUGGUUCUCCCCGAAAGCUAUUUAGGUAGCGCCUCGUGAAUUCAUCUCCGGGGGUAGAGCACUGUUUCGGCAAGGGGGUCAUCCCGACUUACCAACCCGAUGCAAACUGCGAAUACCGGAGAAUGUUAUCACGGGAGACACACGGCGGGUGCUAACGUCCGUCGUGAAGAGGGAAACAACCCAGACCGCCAGCUAAGGUCCCAAAGUCAUGGUUAAGUGGGAAACGAUGUGGGAAGGCCCAGACAGCCAGGAUGUUGGCUUAGAAGCAGCCAUCAUUUAAAGAAAGCGUAAUAGCUCACUGGUCGAGUCGGCCUGCGCGGAAGAUGUAACGGGGCUAAACCAUGCACCGAAGCUGCGGCAGCGACGCUUAUGCGUUGUUGGGUAGGGGAGCGUUCUGUAAGCCUGUGAAGGUGUACUGUGAGGUAUGCUGGAGGUAUCAGAAGUGCGAAUGCUGACAUAAGUAACGAUAAAGCGGGUGAAAAGCCCGCUCGCCGGAAGACCAAGGGUUCCUGUCCAACGUUAAUCGGGGCAGGGUGAGUCGACCCCUAAGGCGAGGCCGAAAGGCGUAGUCGAUGGGAAACAGGUUAAUAUUCCUGUACUUGGUGUUACUGCGAAGGGGGGACGGAGAAGGCUAUGUUGGCCGGGCGACGGUUGUCCCGGUUUAAGCGUGUAGGCUGGUUUUCCAGGCAAAUCCGGAAAAUCAAGGCUGAGGCGUGAUGACGAGGCACUACGGUGCUGAAGCAACAAAUGCCCUGCUUCCAGGAAAAGCCUCUAAGCAUCAGGUAACAUCAAAUCGUACCCCAAACCGACACAGGUGGUCAGGUAGAGAAUACCAAGGCGCUUGAGAGAACUCGGGUGAAGGAACUAGGCAAAAUGGUGCCGUAACUUCGGGAGAAGGCACGCUGAUAUGUAGGUGAAGCGACUUGCUCGUGGAGCUGAAAUCAGUCGAAGAUACCAGCUGGCUGCAACUGUUUAUUAAAAACACAGCACUGUGCAAACACGAAAGUGGACGUAUACGGUGUGACGCCUGCCCGGUGCCGGAAGGUUAAUUGAUGGGGUCAGCGCAAGCGAAGCUCUUGAUCGAAGCCCCGGUAAACGGCGGCCGUAACUAUAACGGUCCUAAGGUAGCGAAAUUCCUUGUCGGGUAAGUUCCGACCUGCACGAAUGGCGUAAUGAUGGCCAGGCUGUCUCCACCCGAGACUCAGUGAAAUUGAACUCGCUGUGAAGAUGCAGUGUACCCGCGGCAAGACGGAAAGACCCCGUGAACCUUUACUAUAGCUUGACACUGAACAUUGAGCCUUGAUGUGUAGGAUAGGUGGGAGGCUUUGAAGUGUGGACGCCAGUCUGCAUGGAGCCGACCUUGAAAUACCACCCUUUAAUGUUUGAUGUUCUAACGUUGACCCGUAAUCCGGGUUGCGGACAGUGUCUGGUGGGUAGUUUGACUGGGGCGGUCUCCUCCUAAAGAGUAACGGAGGAGCACGAAGGUUGGCUAAUCCUGGUCGGACAUCAGGAGGUUAGUGCAAUGGCAUAAGCCAGCUUGACUGCGAGCGUGACGGCGCGAGCAGGUGCGAAAGCAGGUCAUAGUGAUCCGGUGGUUCUGAAUGGAAGGGCCAUCGCUCAACGGAUAAAAGGUACUCCGGGGAUAACAGGCUGAUACCGCCCAAGAGUUCAUAUCGACGGCGGUGUUUGGCACCUCGAUGUCGGCUCAUCACAUCCUGGGGCUGAAGUAGGUCCCAAGGGUAUGGCUGUUCGCCAUUUAAAGUGGUACGCGAGCUGGGUUUAGAACGUCGUGAGACAGUUCGGUCCCUAUCUGCCGUGGGCGCUGGAGAACUGAGGGGGGCUGCUCCUAGUACGAGAGGACCGGAGUGGACGCAUCACUGGUGUUCGGGUUGUCAUGCCAAUGGCACUGCCCGGUAGCUAAAUGCGGAAGAGAUAAGUGCUGAAAGCAUCUAAGCACGAAACUUGCCCCGAGAUGAGUUCUCCCUGACUCCUUGAGAGUCCUGAAGGAACGUUGAAGACGACGACGUUGAUAGGCCGGGUGUGUAAGCGCAGCGAUGCGUUGAGCUAACCGGUACUAAUGAACCGUGAGGCUUAACC